AUGCAAGACGUCUCAUCAUCAACGUCCUCUUCCUCGGGCUGCUGCGGUGUUGCCGCAGCCUCGCCGAGGAGAUCCCCCAUGCGCCGAAACCUGUGGGGGGUGCCAACGCUGUCGUCGGCGUCGAACAGCUCCGACCUUGCUGUUGGUGGGGUUGUGAACUGCCUCCCGGGACCCACCUUGCUUGACGUCGGGGUGUCCGGGGACACCGUACCCGGGGACGGUGUUCUCGGGGUUGCAAUUCCCGGAUCCACACCUCCCGGGCUUCCCGGGGUGGCACUUCCCGGGGUCUUGCUUCCCGGGGUCCUAGAGUACAUUCGGUACUCCACGGUGAAGGAGCUGCUUGCCGGGGCCUCCCCCGACGCCUCCCAAGUCCAUCGCGCGUCUUCAUCGAAGAUGACAUCGCGUGAGACAUGCACACACUUUGAGAUGGGGUUGUACAUCUUGUACACCUUAGAGCCCGUCUCGUAG
rnacentral:rRNA from 1 species